rnacentral:snRNA from 1 species
GGGUACCACCAUGAUCAGGUAGGUGGUUUUCCCAGGGCGAGGCUCAUCCCCUGCACUCCGGGUGUGCUGACCCCUGCGAUUUCCCCAAAUGCGGGAAACUCGA